rnacentral:rRNA from 1 species
AUUGAACGCUGGCGGCAUGCCUUACACAUGCAAGUCGAACGGUAACGGGCCUUCGGGUGCCGACGAGUGGCGAACGGGUGAGUAGAGUAUCGGAACGUACCUUUCAGUGGGGGAUAACGUAGCGAAAGUUACGCUAAUACCGCAUAUUCUGUGAGCAGGAAAGCAGGGGAUCGCAAGACCUUGCGCUGAUUGAGCGGCCGAUAUCAGAUUAGCUAGUUGGUGAGGUAAAGGCUCACCAAGGCGACGAUCUGUAGCGGGUCUGAGAGGAAGAUCCGCCACACUGGAACUGAGACACGGUCCAGACUCCUACGGGAGGCAGCAGUGGGGAAUUUUGGACAAUGGGGGCAACCCUGAUCCAGCCAUGCCGCGUGAGUGAAGAAGGCCUUCGGGUUGUAAAGCUCUUUCGGCCGGGAAGAAAUCGUAUGGGUUAAUACCCUGUGCGGAUGACGGUACCGGCAUAAGAAGCACCGGCUAACUACGUGCCAGCCGCCGCUGUAAUAC